UACGAAGGGGGCUAGCGUUGUUCGGAUUUACUGGGCGUAAAGCGCACGUAGGCGGAUCGAUCAGUCAGGGGUGAAAUCCCAGAGCUCAACUCAGGAACUGCCUUUGAUACUGUCGAUCUGGAGUAUGGAAGAGGUGAGUGGAAUUCCGAGUGUAGAGGUGAAAUUCGUAGAUAUUCGGAGGAACACCAGUGGCGAAGGCGGCUCACUGGUCCAUUACUGACGCUGAGGUGCGAAAGCGUGGGAGCAAACAGG
rnacentral:rRNA from 1 species